GAUGAACGCUAGCGGCAGGCCUAAUACAUGCAAGUCGAACGGUGUCUUCGGACAUAGUGGCGCACGGGUGCGUAACACGUAUGCAACCUACCUUACAUUGGGGGAUAGCCUUUCGAAAGGGAGAUUAAUACCGCAUAAGACAGUAGCUGGGCAUCCAGCAGCUGUUAAAGAUUUAUCGAUGUAAGCUGGGCAUGCGUCCAAUUAGCUAGUUGGUGAGGUAACGGCUCACCAAGGCAAUGAUUGGUAGGGGAACUGAGAGGUCAAUCCCCCACACUAGCACUGAGAUACGGGCCAGACUCCUACGGGAGGCAGCAGUAGGGAGUAUUGGGCAAUGGACGCAAGUCUGACCCAGCCAUGCCGCGUGCAGGAUGAAGGCGUUAUGCGUUGUAAACUGCUUUUAUACAGGAAGAAACGACUCUUGCGAGAGGCAUUGACGGUACUGUAUGAAUAAGCACCGGCUAACUCCGUGCCAGCAGCCGCGGUAACAC
rnacentral:rRNA from 1 species